rnacentral:rRNA from 1 species
AGUGAACGCUGGCGGUAGGCCUAACACAUGCAAGUCGAACGGCAGCACAGGAGAGCUCGCUCUCUGGGUGGCGAGUGGCGGACGGGUGAGGAAUACACCGGAAUCUACUCUGUCGUGGGGGAUAACGUAGGGAAACUUACGCUAAUACCGCAUACGACCUACGGGUGAACGGAGGGGAGCUUCGGACCUUGCGCGAUUGAAUGCGCCGAUGCCGGAUUUGCUGGUUGGCGGGGUGAAGGCCCACCAAGGCGACGAUCCGUAGCUGGGCUGAGAGGAUGAUCCGCCACACUGGAACUGAGACACGGUCCAGACUCCCACGGGAGGCAGCAGUGGGGAAUAUGGGACAAUGGGCGCAAGCCUGAUCCAGCCAUACCGCGUGGGUGAAGAAGGCCUUCGGGUUGUAAAGCCCUGUUGUUGGGAAAGAAAUCCAGCUGGCUAAUACCCGGUUGGGAUGACGGUACCCAAAGAAUAAGCACCGGCUAACUUCGUGCCAGCAGCCGCAGUAA